ACUACGUGGCGGAUUCUGACUGUGAAGAGGACUGUCCCAAGUGAAGAGUGGGAGGCAAGUGCCUUGUGACCGGGAGGAGGUCGACCUUAAAGGAGCUGGUAUUGUAGCUCUUCUAAAGCCUAGUCUACUUAGGAAGGCAAAAGCGAAGCAGCAAGAAGUGGCCACAGAAGCCGUGUGGUCCCUAGAAGUAGAAGGGUAAGGAGGAUGCAGGAGAUGGUCCUACUUGUGGCCGCAACGGGGCUCAGAAGUCCGCUUGUUAGAGAUGGCAGUGACCUGUGACAAUCCAGUCUGCCCGACACGCCUCCCGCCUCCUUAGGAACGGGAAGGAGCCCCGGCCCAGUGCACUGACGUAGUUAGCCUAAGAUCACGUAGCUGGUUGGUCACAGAAUCAUGACUUUAAUUCAUGUCUUCUGACUCUGACCUGGCACGCUUUGUACCUCACCAAAGACAGUGAUGAAAUUGCAAAAGGGCAGAGUGGAGAAGACUGGAAUGUUCAGCCAAGGCAUUUGAACUUUUAAUGCUGCAAGUCAAGACUUCCUGAAGAUUUUUGAGCAGAUGAGUGAAGUGAUAAGAAAAUGCAUCUUCAGCAGUGACAGCAUCAACGAGGAGGAGACUGGCCGGGAGGCUAUUACCCGCAUCAAAACCAGUGAACAUUAAAAAAAAUUUUUUUUUUAGAGAGAGGGUCUUGCUCUUUUGCCCAGGCUGGAGUGCAGUGGCUUGACCAUAGUUCUCUAUAACCUUGAAUUCCUGCGUUCAAGCGAUCUUCCUUCCUCAGCUUCCGGAGUAGCUGGGACUACAGAUGCGUGCCACCAUGCCAGGCCAAUUUUUAAUUUUGUUUUGUAAAGAUGGGGUUUCUGUGUUGCCCAGGUAGGACAAAGAGGAAUGACAAAAGGCAUGUAACCACCUGAAUUUGCCCCUAUCAAAGAGCUCUCCAGGAAGCACCACCAAGGAAUUUUCACUGACAUUUCCCAGGCCAGACCAUGCUGCUGCUAAGCAAAAUGAGGAUUCUGCUAGUGAGGAUGAAAGGAAGAAUGUGUAAUCAGUUUUCUUGAAGUAUAAUACAUGUACAAUAAACUGAACCUAUUGGAAAUAUACAUUUGGAUGAGUUUUGACAGAUGUAUAUACCACAGUCAAGAUACAGAACAUUCCCAUCACUCCAAGAGAUUCUUUGUGUCCCUUUGUGGUCAAUCCCUCCUACACGAGGCCCCUAGGUAACCGCUGAUCUGUUUUCCAUCACAAUAGAUUAGUCUGCAUAUUCUAGCAUCUUUAAUAAAUGCAGUCAUACAGUAUGUA
rnacentral:lncRNA from 1 species